AUUGAACGCUGGCGGCAGGCCUAACACAUGCAAGUCGAACGAGUGGCGGACGGGUGAGUAAUGUCUGGGAAACUGCCCGAUGGAGGGGGAAAACCACUGGAAACGGUAGCUAAAACCGCAUACAAUCGGAUGUGCCCAGAUGGGAUUAGCUAGUAGGUGGGGUAAUGGCUCACCUAGGCGACGAUCCCUAGCUGGUCUGAGAGGAUGACCAGCCACACUGGAACGAAGCCCCGGUCCAGACUCCUACGGGUGGCAGCAGUGGGAAAUAUUGCACAAUGGGCGCAAGCCUAGUGCGGCCAUGCCGCGUAUAUGAAGAAGGCCUUCAGGUUGUAAAGUUCUUUCAGCGAGGAGGCGUUACUCGCAGAAGAAGCACCGGCUAACUCCGUGCCAGCAGCCGCGGUAAUUC
rnacentral:rRNA from 1 species